AUUGGAGAAAUUCAAUAAAACCUCUAAAUUGAAUCGCAUUCUUUCUCUACCUAUCUACACUUUAAAUCAAAGUAAAUUUCAGUAAAUUUGUGGUGAUUUUAUUCUUUAUAUUCGCUGUGAGUACAAUUGACUUUGAUUUGAAGUAUAGAUAAGUAGAGGAAUAAUUCAAAUACAUUCUGUUUUUACGAAUUUAUCGCAUGAAGUGGGAGGUCGAUAAGAAAUUAAUGUCUUCAAAAACCCGAAUGUCAGAAUAAAUAAAUCAGAAGUAACUACUGUGCCACAAUAUGUGAACAAAGGAAUAUAUUGAAUAUAAGUUAAAUCAUGAGUUAUUUUUGCAUCUGAUACAUUUAGGUAUUGACUUACCUCCAAACACAAAUACGGAACACAAUUAUAUUGCAAAGCAAUUACGUUCCUGGAUAUUAACCACAACUCGGGAACCGGCAACACUACUCUCUUUGUCCACAUAUGCUCAGUUACACCUAGGAAAGCGUAUUGUAAAGUUUGUGCCAGAGGCUUUCACCUAUGAACAAAACAAAUGCAAAAGCGAUCUGCAAGGAUUUGUUGUACUGUUGUGCAAGAAUAAAAUCAGGAUGAUUUGGUAGCAACAAGAUUGUUUUCAUAUCUUUGGGUAAAGGCAUAACUCAUUAACGGCAAUUGUGACUAUUUGUUUCCUCAUGGAAUGUGACGUAGUUGUUUCAGAAAAUCGUCUGCUGAAGUGUUUUCAUGUGCACAAAAUAACAACGCUGGCUAGUGUUUUCUUUAGUCCCGAUUGGUGGUGCUGGACCAAUCUAACGUUUCCUCAAAUUUUCUUAUUCUUGUUUCAAUUAUCUGAAUAUUAUUUAACAUUGUAUUAUAUAAAUAUGAUACUUAAUGUCAGGAGAAACAAUUAAAAUUAAAAUACAUUAUACUCAAAAUA